UACGUCUAGCUGCAAACUGGUCGCGGUUAUUUGUGUACGUGUGCCCACUGCAAAUGUAUGUGGAGCGCGAGUGAAUUGAGAUAUUGGAACAGUCAUCGAAUCAUUUUUAACGCGUGAUUCUUCGAAAACUCAUCGAUAACCGACAGUCCUAUUACGUUUCUGCGUUUUUCUUGGUUCGUAGCCGCACGGUUGUGUACGGUGCUUUACAACACGUGUGUGGUAUCGACUUACAAUGGCUGCGAGAAGUAUUUGCACACUAUUGGCUCUAUCGUCAUAUUAAUUAUUUGACUGCGAGAGAUAUUAAAUUUUAUAUCAUUUAGUAGCCUUCUUACACAACUGCAAAAAUUUAAUAUCGCGGAUAUCAUGACGUAGAAUUUGGUAAAAAAUGCUUCAUUGGAAAAUAAAUAUGUGCCGAUACUUUUCGUAGCUGCUGUAAAUGGUGGAACAUUUUACGGGACGUCCGCUAUGAUUUAUAUAUAUCAUCUACGUAAAACUUUAUGACAUAGACUAGAAAAGGCUAGAAAAAAGCUUUGUUGGUGUUGGUGAAGAUCGCUCGUUAACAUUCGUAGACAAAUGUUAAUGAAAGCUCUAGACAGUGUUAAUGAGCGUAAUAACGAGUGUGAAUUGUCUUCUACCAUUCGAUUAAUAAUAGCGUAGAAUGAUUAUCGAAUAAUAAUCGGUUGAAAUUACAGGGGUAAGAGAAAGUAGAAAAGAUUGAUAAGAAUCCAGAAGAAAAUAUGCGAUUGGAAUGUAAAAGAAUACAAAAUUUCUCUGUCCAUUAUAGCAACAACUACGCUCGCUACGUUUUUUUGCAAUAAAACAGCAAUUAUAAGUCAACUAUAAAUGAUUUAUUUCAUCGUCUAAGUGGAAGUAACAGAAGACAAACUGGAUUUAAAAGACAGCUAAGUUUCUUCAUUUUUGUAUUAUAAGACAUUACGAUACAGAAAUAAUAUGACAAUUAUUGUAGUUGCCAGCGUAUGAAGAUGAAGGGAAUUCAUUUUACUUCUCUUCGAAUCCAUAUUUACAAAUUUUGUACACUUGCAAAAAUACAUCGCAUUGAGUUUGAAGAAGAUAAAAUUAGAUAAUUUCUCCGAUAAAAGCAACUGGUUUGUGCUAUCGAUUCUAAGAACAGCGGAUAAUUCGUAAAAAAAACGAACUGAAUUCUUUAGAAUUCUGUAUAAGAGUAAGUAGAUAGCCGAGUGAACUCACUUACAUGCUUCAAAACAAUGGGAGUAAAUACUCGUGCGUUUCCACAAAAUCGUAAGGCUCAAAGUAUAACGAGAUCGAGCUGAAGUUCCCUGUCGGAUCAGUUGUUAACGCGACAGAAUUUGCUAAUUCGAAAUGUGUUCGGACGAACAAGAAUCGUAUCGGUCAUGGAGAAGUAAAUAUGUGCAAACGAGAGACGGCGGCCGGAUGUCAGUGGUUUAUCUAAGGAACUGUUUGCGGAGCAUGAAGGAGAAUUAAGGAAAAAUAAAGACGUGAAAGAAGAAAAUAUUUCAUUUCAAAUUCCCAGUAUUUUCGUGCAAGAGC